AUUUUGUCCCCAGUCGUAACGGAAACAAAUACUAAAAUAUUGUAAAUUCCUGUGGGAUGAAAUUCCUGUGAAGUUCGUUUUUGCACUUAGUGAAAGAGCGUGGGACGCCAGGAAACAUUCAGAUUUCAAGCCUUGCACAGGGGCAGAAUUCACAUUCAAUGAGGUCUGAGGGAAGGCUGCCUUUGGCCAGCAAGGUGCUCGCCAGCCCUGGCACUCAUCUGUGGCUCUCUUCCUUCUCCUCCCUGAUGCCCAGCUCCAGUAACAUGGCUGGAGCUGGAAGCCAUCCAUCCCAAGCCGACCCACGCAGAGGGAGUGUGCAGAAGAGACAAGUUCUUGGAAAGGGAAACCAGGCAUUUUGGAAAUGGCAGAGCCCCUGGGCACUGCUCAGAUGUCUCAUCUGCCUGUAUUGAGCUGCAUCUGCUCUUUACAAGCUGCAGGUUUCACUGAUGCGUGGACGGAUGUUGUGAAAGGCUGCUGUGGCUGGGAUUUGCUGGGGCUUGCAGGUGGUAGUAAAAUUUUGGAGAGCUGACAGCAAGUGAUGUUGUAGUUCAAAAUCUUAGAGAAACAACUGUGAUUGUUACGGGGAUAUAAAACGCUCAAGAUCUGUUGAAGCUGGUAGAAAAUUCCCAUUUGUAUCUUGGGGACAGAAAUAAAAUGGGAUUUAGUGAUUCCUGGUAAUAUUUG
rnacentral:lncRNA from 1 species